AUGUCUAGCCCGGCCCAUGUUGCAACCCCCACCCCACGCAGCCCACCUACUGCUACAGAGAGAACAUCUGCUCCCCAGCCCACUGGGCCUCUUGCCAAUGCUGCUGAUGCUGCUAUUUCGCCCACCACCAUGCUGGAUCCGCCUCUCCACCCCGUGUCAUCCUCUGCUGCGCCGUUCCUCACUGCCAUUUGCGCUGAGAUCCAGCCUCCACUCAUCGCCUCCCCUCCGGCGACUCGUACGCUGCCGCAGCCGGCGGCCACCCCGGCCAGAUGCACCAGUCGCCGUCUCGCUGGGCAGCCUGCCGCCGGCCUCUCCACCAUCGAGCGGGCCCGCAGCGUGCUCCGUAAGAAGUGGGGAAUCGCCGGCGACCUCGACGACAAAGCCACCGAGGAGGCCAUGAUGCAGAACUUCAUCGACAUGUUCAAGGAGCCGCUCAGCGCUGACGAGAUUGAGGCGGUCAAGGCCCUCUUCUCGUCGGUCCAGCUGACCAAGGGGAGGCCAAGCUCCAAGGGCCGCCCAGCCGCCGUUCGCCGGCUGCGCGACCGGCACGGUUCUGCCGCUUAG
rnacentral:rRNA from 1 species